rnacentral:rRNA from 1 species
CAAGUCGAGCGGGGGACUUCGGUCCCCAGCGGCGGACGGGUGAGUAACACGUGGGUAACCUGCCUUGUAGAGGGGGAUAGCCUUCCGAAAGGAAGAUUAAUACCGCAUAACAUUGCGAUAUCGCAUGAUAUUGUAAUCAAAGGAGCAAUCCGCUACAAGAUGGACCCGCGGCGCAUUAGCUAGUUGGUGAGGUAACGGCUCACCAAGGCAACGAUGCGUAGCCGGCCUGAGAGGGUGAACGGCCACAUUGGAACUGAGACACGGUCCAGACUCCUACGGGAGGCAGCAGUGGGGAAUAUUGCACAAUGGGCGAAAGCCUGAUGCAGCAACGCCGCGUGAGUGAUGAAGGCCUUCGGGUUGUAAAGCUCUGUCUUCUGGGACGAUAAUGACGGUACCAGAGGAGGAAGCCACGGCUAACUACGUGCCAGCAGCCGCGGUAAUACGUAGGUGGCAAGCGUUGUCCGGAUUUACUGGGCGUAAAGAAUGCGUAGGCGGAUAUUUAAGUGAGAUGUGAAAUUCCCGGGCUUAACUUGGGAGCUGCAUUUCAAACUGGAUAUCUA